GCAGGCGCCAAACCGCUGUGCCACUCAGGGAUCCCGGAUCUCUUUUUUUUUCUGUGUGGUUACUCCCUUGAACCCUCACACGGCCCGAGAGACAAUUAUUGCUGUAUGUCACUGAUCUAAGAUGUCAUCAGCUACAAGGUGUUCCAUUUAUUCUGUGAAGAAAGGAAAGAAAUGCUAUCAUAAAAACCGUGAUAUGUGUUCAGUUGUAUGAUGUGCUCCAAUCUCAGCUCGGUGUGAAGUAACCACUCAGUAUGUUUUGCACAGAGAGAUCAACAGUCUGAAUGGACAUAACCUGACUUCUAGGACCAGACUGGACUCAGCGUGGGUCUAUGUUUUUCAGUAUAGAUCAACAAGGGAAAUUUUUAAAAGAUGUAAGUCCUAAUUCUCAUGUGAACCAAAGGAAGGCUCCUGUCUAGAUUCUUAAUCAGCUCUAUCUUCUACGUUUCCUCUUACUAAAGUGCAGGUAUACUGCAUAUGUGGCCCUCUACAAUCCGCCCAAGCUGGUCCCAGCUCCUCAGAACAGCUGCCAUCAAGUGUCUGUUCUCACACACAUUAUCUGAGCCAGACAUUAUCGUUCCCCCCGGACAUAGGAGGGGAGAGAAGCUGGGAGACAUAAAGAGACUUGCUUCUGAUAACAAAACUAGAAAGUGACAAAUGCUGGACAGAGUCCUACCAAGCCAUCCUCACCGCCACCCCUCCCACAUCAGCAAGCCUUCUCUAAAGAAUGGCAUCAUGGCCUUGUCUCCUGGCCUUAAAUGAUAGUCACAGCAAAGCGAAAAAGGCAGCCAACCAACACCUGUGAGAGUUUUCAGUGGCCUCUAAAAAUGUCUUUUCCCUGAGUCACCUGCAGUCUUUCAUCUUGGGAAUACUGAGUGUUUCAUCAACAUUAUCUCAUUACUCCUCAUUGCCCCAGACUUUUCAAAUAAAUGACUUAAUGUUUGCAGAAAGUCCUUGAGACCUAAACACUACAAGUGCAAUAUGAGGGUACGGCAUUGUCCUACCACCUGAACAGCUGCCACAGAAUCUGUUCAGAGUCUGUCAGAGAACUCUCCUAUGAACAUGUCAGGCUUUUCAUGUCAUGGAGACGGAGGCAGGAAUAGAGGAGGCAGAUUCAACGUGGCUGAUCCUGGUUUGGAAAUGGAAUAAAUCUAUAAAGCAGAGAUGCCUAAAGGGAUUCCACUGGCAACUCUGAUCAACUAGUAAUGCCCUUCUGAUGGGCUGAGAAGGAUCCUGAGGCUAUGCCUGGGUUCAUUGGGAAAGAGUUCGGGAAUGGUUAGUGAUGUCUGUCAUGAAUACAGGACUAGUGAUUUUGGAGCGUAUGUUCCAGAAAUUUGCCCUUCUUGCCAUAGAUCAGUAACUUUACUAUAACCAUCUUUUAGUUCUAGGAGGCAUUUGUUGUUGUUGU